GCCGGCGGUCCUCGGGUGUAGAGGGAGACAGCUGCCCGGGGGCACGGGCGAGCACCUCUGGGGGUCCCGGAUCCUAGACCCGCGGCCCCGGGCCCUACUCUGUGUGGAGUCUCUCGCUGGACCUGGAACUCAGGGAUCCUAGGGAGGUCAGCUGGAAGGGAAGACACGCCUCUCCAUACCAAGCCUGAGGUUCACUGCAAAAGAGAGGCCGCCGCCCUGCCCCCACCCUGCCCCCACCCUGCCCCAAACCCGCCCCAACCUGCUCCUCCAGCAGAGCCCUGUGUUCUUCCUGUCUGAGGAGUGGUUCCAGCAAAGCGGGCUCUUCCACGUCCUUCAGCUCCCCCAGUGGCGCCGGAUCUAGGAAAGGUUGUGCCUUUUGCUGAAACUCUGGGGUUGACAGGAGCUCAUCUAACAGGCUGGAGGUGAGUGCAGACGAGAGCCCCGGCUCCUGGAGCGGUUGGGAGGUGCCCGGUUGGCUGGCAUCUGCGCUUGACGCGGAGGCCUCCGGGGUCACGAGCUCGGGAGGUGAAGGUGCCCCGUCUUCGGGUUCCCAUGCCGCCCUGGCGACCUGGGGCUCCAGCCCCACCACGGACUCCGGUGGGACGUGGGUGGUGCAAGCACACCUUUCCCCUGUGACUCAGCUUGAGGGGCCCCAAGCUGUCCCACUGAGCACGCGCCCAGCAGGCCGUCGCGCUGUGGGUUCUGGUCUUCCUGUCAUUUGUUGGGGUUCGGAGGCCACCAGGGAGUCUGAGGAUGGGAGAGCCCCAGUUUCGGAGGGAGGGGCCAGGACAGUGAACACAAAGCCCCGCAUGCUCGGGCAGGUUGGGAGAGUCCUUCUGCCUGUGCAGCCUGGCUGGGCUGGAGCAGGGGGAUGACCCUUGCUUCCUGGCUCACGAAAGCCCCCUGUGGGAGAGCCCCAGGAGCGCAGGGCAUGUGGGGUGCAGGAAGCGACGUUCCCCACGCCCCGGUGUAGGUGAACCCGAUAGAGGAGGGAGGAGGGUGACACCCACCAGGGGUGCUAAUUAGUAACCACAGUGGCCUCAAAGAACUCAAAUGAAAGGAAGACUUGCAAGUCUCUCACUUUAAGUCCAGAGCUAGAAAUGAUUAAGCUUAGUGAAGAUGUAGAAUUUUCAUAGCUAGAGAGAAGUCAACACUUGGCUUCAGAACUUCAAAGGAUGGGCUGACUCUCUUUGAGGACCACUGCAGCUGGUGACUUUAGGUUACAGCCAGUGCUCAUUGACCACUCUGAAAAUCUCAGGGCCCUUAAGAAUUAUGCAAAAUCUAUUCUUUCUGUGCUCUAGAAAUGGAACAUCACUGUCUGGGUGACAGCACAUCUGUUAAUAGCAUGGUUUACUGAAUAUUUUAAUCCCACUAUUGAGACCUACUGCUCAGAAAAAAAAAAAAAACGAUUCUUUUAAAAAGAUUGUUGGUUGGCCAGGCAUAGUGGCUCAUACUUGUAAUCCCUGCACUUUGGGAGGCUGAGGAUCACCUGAGGUCAGGAGUUCAAGACCAGCCUGGCCAAAAUGAUGAAACCCCAUCUCUAAUAAAAAUACAAAAAAAAUUAGCCAGGCAUGGUGGUAGUACCUGUAAUUUCAGCUACUCGGGAGGCUGAGGCAGAAGAAUGGCUUGAACCCUGGAGGCAGAGGUUGCAGUGAGCCGAGACCGCACCACUGUACUCCAGCCUGGGCAACAAGAGUGAAACUACGUCAAAAAAAAAAAAAAAAAAAAAAAAAAAAAAAAAAAAAAAGAAAAAGAAAAGAAAGAAAAGAAAGAAAAAGAAAAAAUCAAAGGAAAGAAAAGGAAAAAAGAAAAAAAGAUUGCUGCUUAUUGACAAUUCACCUAGCUCCCCAGAAGCUUAGAUGGAGAUGUACUUGGAAAUUAAUGUUAUUUUCAUGGCUGCUAGUACAAUAUUUACCUUCAGCCUGUGGAUCAAGGAGUGGUUUUGACUUUCAAGUGUUUUUAUUAAUUAAUAAUUGCAUUUUGUAAAGGUAUAGCUGUCAUAGAUAGUGAUUUCUUUGAUGAAUCUGGAUAAACUGAAUUGAAAACCUUUUGGAAAGGAUUCACCAUUAAUCCUUUCAUGAUAUUUGAACCUCCUCCCGUGAAUCACAAAUGUCCUUAAUAGCAAUCCUUAAAUGCCAUUAAGGACAUUUGUGAUUGAUGGGAGGAGGAUGAAAUAUUAACAUUAACAGGAGUUUGGAAGAAGUUGAUUCCAGCCCUCAUGGAUGACUUUGAGGGCUCAGGAUGUCAGUGGAGGAAGUCCCUGCAGAUGUGGUAGAAAUCACAAGACAACUAGAAUUAGAAUUAGGGCCUUAAGGUGAGAUGAAAUUGCUGUAAACUCAUGAUGAAACUUGAACAAAUAGGGAGUUGCUUCUUAUGGACGAGCAAAGAAAAUAUUUUCUUGAGAUGGAAUAUAAUCCAGGUGGAGAUGCUAUCAACAUUGUUGAAAUGACAACAAAGGAUUUAGAAUAUUCCAUAAACCUAGUUGAUAAAGCAGCAGCAGGGUUUGAGAGGGUUUACUCCAAUUUUGAAAGAAGUUCUACUGUUGAUAAAAUGCUGUCAAACAGCAUCACAUGCUACAGGGAAAUCUUUUGUGAAAGGAACAAACUUCAUUGUUUUAAAAAAUUGACACAGGUUUCCAACCUUCAGCAGCCCCCACGCUGAUUAGCCAGCAGUCAUCAAUAUAGAGGCAAGACUCUCACCAGCAAA
rnacentral:lncRNA from 1 species